GGUCUGACGCCGAAGACCGCGGAGCCGCGGAUUCAAAGAAUGAGGAAGCGCUGAUACCGGGGAGAGGCGGGCCUCUCCGCCAGCAAGGAUUUAAAAAUCACUCAAAACCAUUAACUUCCAGAAUUUGCUUUUUCCUGGCAGCACCCCAGAUCUUUGAGCUUCCCUGCCCCCUGCCAGUCCGCCUUUAGCCCAACACUGGUUCGAGCCACAGCUCCUCCGAGGUCAUAAAUCCCUGAACAGCAAAGAAGCUCCCCCCACCCCCCGUUUUUUUUAAGCGAAAGAUUUUUCAAGGGAAACUUGUAAGGAAUUAGUGCCGCCUUGUUCCCCAAUUUGCUGUUCGUCUGACCUCCAGACUCACUGGCGUCAGGAAUUAUCUUGUGACCAGAGGGAAAAAAAAUUAAUUGCGGUGAAGCUGAGGUUACAAUGAAGAAAACAGAUUUGCGCUAGGCGCUGAGAUUGCAGAAGGAGGAGGGAAAGGGGGUUUGAGCAAAGAACACUAUUUAUUUGAGCAACAGGGGAAAAGAAGAAAGCUUGAGCCCAUGCUUUUUGCAUGGGGAAAAAAGGAGCCUGGACCCUCUGCCCCAUAAACUCCAUAACGAACUAAAUAUAUGCACAGUUGUGCUUUGUGAGUUCAAUUAGAAUUUUGGACAAGGUUUUAAAUAUGGAGGCACAGAUGGGACAAUUUCUACAUAAACCUUUUUAAGAGCCCCCCCCCACCCAAUUGGGUCAGCAAAUUUCUUAACUUCCCCUCUCUUCACUUUCCACACACCUCUGUGUAGAAAA
rnacentral:lncRNA from 1 species